GUGCCAGCAGCCGCGGUAAUACGGAGGGUGCAAGCGUUAAUCGGAAUUACUGGGCGUAAAGCGCACGCAGGCGGUUGAUUAAGUUAGAUGUGAAAUCCCCGGGCUUAACCUGGGAACUGCAUUUAAAACUAGUCAGCUAGAGUCUUGUAGAGGGGGGUAGAAUUCCACGUGUAGCGGUGAAAUGCGUAGAGAUGUGGAGGAAUACCGGUGGCGAAGGCGGCCCCCUGGACAAAGACUGACGCUCAGGUGCGAAAGCGUGGGGGAGCAAACAGGAUUAGAUACCCUGGUAGUCCACGCUGUAAACGAUGUCGACUUGGAGGUUGUGCCCUUGAGGCGUGGCUUCCGGAGCUAACGCGUUAAGUCGACCGCCUGGGGAGUACGGCCGCAAGGUUAAACUCAAAUGAAUUGACGGGGCCCGCACAAGCGGUGGAGCAUGUGGUUUAAUUCGAUGCAACGCGAAGAACCUUACCUGGUCUUGACAUCCACAGAAGUUUUCAGAGAUGAGAACGUGCCUUCGGGAACUGUGAGAC
rnacentral:rRNA from 1 species